rnacentral:rRNA from 1 species
UACGUAGGGUGCGAGCGUUGCCCGGAUUUAUUGGGCGUAAAGGGCGCGCAGGCGGCUCGGCACGUCCGUUGUGAAAUCGCCCGGCUCAACUGGGCGGGGUCAGCGGAUACGGUCGAGCUUGAGCAAGCUAGGGGGCAAUGGAAUUCCCGGUGUAGUGGUGGAAUGCGUAGAUAUCGGGAGGAACACCAGUGGCGAAGGCGGUUGCCUGGAGCUUUGCUGACGCUGAUGCGCGAAAGCGUGGGGAGCGAGCCGG